CCUACGGGGGGCAGCAGUGAGGAAUAUUGGUCAAUGGCCGAGAGGCUGAACCAGCCAAGUCGCGUGAGGGAAGAAUGUCCUAUGGAUUGUAAACCUCUUUUGUCAGGGAGCAAAGUCACCCACGUGUGGGUGUUUGAGAGUACCUGACGAAAAAGCAUCGGCUAACUCCGUGCCAGCAGCCGCGGUAAUACGGAGGAUGCGAGCGUUGUCCGGAUUUAUUGGGUUUAAAGGGUGCGUAGGCGGGUUAUCAAGUCAGCGGUAAAAGCGUCGAGCUAAACUCCAACCAGCCGUUGAAACUGAUGGUCUUGAGUGGGCGAGAAGUAGGCGGAAUGCGUGGUGUAGCGGUGAAAUGCAUAGAUAUCACGCAGAACUCCGAUUGCGAAGGCAGCAUACCGGAGCCCGACUGACGCUGAAGCACGAAAGCGUGGGUAUCGAACAGGAUUAGAUACCCUUGUAGUC
rnacentral:rRNA from 1 species